GAUUGGUGGAGUGACCGUGCCGCGUCAACACAAGGAGGUCGUCAUAGCCACCAUAAUCAUCGAUAUCCUUCUCCUCCAUCUCCCCGUCAUCAUCAUUUUGAUAAUAACGGUGAUAAUCAUCAUCGACAUCAACACCCUCAACAGCAGCCGCAGCAGCAGUCUGCUGGACUCGCGUUGGAGAGGGCACUGCAUUCGCCGGAACCACACCCGACGCCGCC
rnacentral:lncRNA from 1 species